CCCCGCGUAGCUUAAUAGUAAAGCGUAUCACUAGUAAUGAUAAGAUCCUCGGUUCGAUGCCGAGUGUGGGCA
rfam:Blastomyces gilchristii SLH14081 genomic scaffold supercont1.3, whole genome shotgun sequence.